GUUAGACUCGGAGGGUGGACCAGGUGGACUGUUGGCCGGUGCGGCGGACCAGUCCCACAGUAGACCCGAAGUGCAUGGUUGUUCUGUGAUCGGAUAUGUUAUGGCAUGUUAUGCGUGUAUGGUAUAUGUGGUUGGUAUUUUGGGGAUAUCUCACUAAGCUUUCGGGCUUACAGUUGUGGUUUUAUGUUUUUCAGGUUCUUCAGGAGACCGUGGCAAGGCGAAGGCGUGAUCGUACCGCUCCUCGUGUCUAUGUUAUGAUGAGAUUCUGUGAAUACUUAAAAUAAAUUGUAUUGAAAACCUUUUGUAAUAACUUUAAUGGAAUCGGGUUGUUUUCGAAAAUUUUAAAUUGGUUGAAAUUUUUGGUCGUUACACUCACUUCUUCUUAGUCCCUGCAAAUUAGAACAUAUGUGAAUACCACAACUUGUAUCAAGGACCCAAGAAUUAGAAUAGGGUGAGUUAUUAGACAAUAUAGUGUAUAUACCUGCUUGGUUGGGUUUUACUUUCCCAUCCUUAACAUCUUGCAGGUACUUCGGGCAGUUUUGCUUCCAGUGCGAUUUUUCAUGGCAAUAGAAGCAUUCAACCUCUUUAGGGUUGGUAGAAGGAGUCACAAAACCUUUCUUGGUUCCACUUGAAGAGGAGCCAUCAAGGGACUUUCCCUUGGUACCCUUCGAAGGGCUCUUCGUCUUCUUUCCUUGGCCUUUCCUGAUUACCAAUACAGGGACCGUGGUAGGAGUAGGAGUGGUAACAACCGAUUUACCCUUAAGACCACUUCCGGCGGUAUUCAAGAGUCCUUGAGGUUUGCUGAGUGUAACUUCCUCCUUGUUCAUGUGGUAUGUCAUUCAGAAUUGAUCAUAACAAGAAGGUAAGGAGUGCAAAAUGAUGUCAAUUGCCAACUCCUCGGGGAAGUUCACAUUCAGUUUCAGUAAACGGUCCACAUACCUUUACACUUUCUGCAUGUGGUCCGUGAUGGGUUCACCAUCCUUUAUAAGGGUUGUUAUCAUGGAGGAGAUGAUUUCAUACCACUCUUGACGAGCACUCUGAUGGUAGCGGUCGAUCAAGUCCUGGUGCAUCUCAAAAGGGGAAUAGUCCUCAUAGGAGUUUUGGAGCUCGGCUGUCAUUGUGGCCAACAUGAUACAUCCCACUUUCGUGGCAUGUCUCUCAUGAUUUCGGUAUUCAGCGAUCUCCUUAAGAGUAGCAGAUGAUUCAUCAAGUUCCUUAAGCUCCUUGUCGAGGACAUAUUCCUUGUCCUCGUAAUGUGUGACCAUCCUGAUGUUCCGGAUCUAAUCCAUAAAGUUGGAACUAUCGAAGAUGACUCUCCCACAAAGGUCCAUGAGAGAGAAGGAGCCAGUAGGGGUUGAGCCAGAAGCAGGAUUGUUGGAAGACAUCUGAAAAGAAGAAAGACAAGUUUAGAUUAUAUAUAAAGAUAGUCCUUAAUAGGACACCCAAAUGUGAUAUUAAGGCUAGGACCCAACACAAUAUUUUAUAACUUAGAAGAGGGAUGUCGUAAUCUAAGCUAUAAAAUAUUUGAAGGUAGGUGAAUGACGAUUCACCAAUUUCCACCAUGCAAAACGAAAUAAAUUAUUAGGUUUUAAUUGGUUUUGAAACUCCUAGAUUCUUUGAGAUUCAUUGAAGUUUUCAAUGGCAUGUUUCAAUCUCGAGUGUGCCCUUCAAGUUUUGUGACUGGGAUGCCGAGGAUCACAAAAUAAGGUGUAAAGUAACCAUGCGAAUUACUUGGUACCCUUAAUGUUUAUCACUUAACCGAUGUGUCGGUUAACCACACGCGCUCCACCGAUCUAUGAUAAACCUUAAGCCACCCUUUGUCUACCUUGUUAAGUCCAUGUUAGUGUGCUGGUUAACCACACGCGCUCCACUAACGACUUAAACAGAGUGCAAAGUGUAAUUUCUUGGGUUAGCACCUUAUUCACAUUUUCCUAAAGUACUAAGAUUAGGAAUUUAUAAAAACAUUUAGUUACUUUAUAACCAUCAUACUUUUAAGGAGGAUUAAAGUCAUUAUCCUACCCGUUCGGCUAACGACCCUCCACCAGUCAAGGAAGCGGUGGGUGAGAGUGGACACCCAUUAAGCUNNNNNNNNNNNNNNNNNNNNNNNNNNNNNNNNNNNNNNNNNNNNNNNNNNNNNNNNNNNNNNNNNNNNNNNNNNNNNNNNNNNNNNNNNNNNNNNNNNNNNNNNNNNNNNNNNNNNNNNNNNNNNNNNNNNNNNNNNNNNNNNNNNNNNNNNNNNNNNNNNNNNNNNNNNNNNNNNNNNNNNNNNNNNNNNNNNNNNNNNNNNNNNAACUUAUAAUAUUAUAAAGUAUAAGGGUUGAAUUUUACUUUUAAAAUUCUAGGGGUUGGAACUAAAGUUUACUAAAAAGUUUGAGACUUUACAUGUUCCAAAACUUGAGGGAAAGUUUUGUAGCUUUCAAAACUUUUCAUCUUUCAUAACUUAUGAGUUGAUGGUUUAUUAAAAUGAGAGACUUUUCAUUUUAUGUAACUUAUGUGUUUCUUUAAUGGACUUUAAAAGACUGACUUUUGGUAAUCCAUAACUUGAGGACAAAUUAUGGAUUCCAUUAAAACACAUCAAGAUCAUGAAUUAAACUAACAAACUAUUUGCAAAUAAUUCCUAUGAUCUUCUAAACUCAUAAGUUCAUGAACAUUCAUAUCAAUAAUUUCAAGAAUCAUAAAUAAACCAUACAAAGCUUGAAAAUUUGAUAAUAGCCAUUGAAAAUGGAUUAGCAUAACCAUUAAACCAUCUAAAACAAGUUUUAUAAGACCAAAACGGUUUAGUGUAAUGUUUCUAGUCCAUUUCCAACAACAAAACUCGAAAAACUACAAACUAGAAGACAAACUCGUCGAGUUUUAUAAGGAACUCGUCAAGUUCAAGUAUUAACUCAUGAACUCGGCGAGUUUUUGACCAAAAUUCGUUGAGUUUUAUAUUCUAGGAAGAUUUUUGUUUUGAAAAACAAGUUUUCAUCAAGUAUCAAGAAAACAAGCGUAGGCUCUGAUACCACUGAAGGGUUUUGAGCCUUCUAACACUCCUAUGGUGUACAUGCAACCCUCGAAACCUUGGAUCUAUGUUUUCUCUAAGAUACACGCAAAUAAUAAUUUCCCAAGGUUUACUUCUUAACUAGCAUGUUAUGGGGUACUUGAAUCAUAACACAGUAGUAGAAUUACAUACCUUUUAGUAGUGGUUGAUUGCUUGGAGUUUUAGAGUCUAGCACCAAUAAUGUGGAUGCCUCAAAUGGAAGUCACAAAUCACCACAAACUUUGGAAACCUCUAGAGAGAGUAUUAGCAAUUGUAGAAAUCAGCCACCUUUGCUCACACACACACACACUAGUGCCAUUUCAAGUGCCAAGGACCCCUGUAUAUAGUGUGGUGGAUUAGGGUUACAUUCAUGUAAACCCUAAUACCCAUGACCUUUCAUUUCCAUGAGAUCCAUGGGUUAAAGCUACAUGGACUAUCCAUGGACUUUCCAUGCAAGCCUAGCCCAUUCUAAGUAAGCAAUAGCCCACACUAUAUAAAUACAAGAGUCCAUAUUUAAUUAGUCACCUUUUUUAUCACCAAAUUCAUUCUAAAUUAAUUCUAGAUCAAUACUAAUUAAAUAAUAUGAUUUCAUAUUAAUAUAUUAGAACUUAUAAUAUAUUAAUAAAUCAUAACUUAUACUAUUCUCAAAAGAUUAUCCAUAUAUAUUGUUCGGGUGAAGUGCAACCCAAAUCGACCAUGCCGGGUCGGGUCAAGUACAUCUCAAAUAUAGUUAUGGACUUAGACACCUUAUCCAACAUUAACACGACGACAUUUGUCCAAGGAUGUUUCGAGCGAAUUAAAUAUGCGGGUUUUUGGUUAGUUUGGUUGAUUUGAGGGGUUUCAUCAUGAAGUGGAAGCGAGUACUGAUUUCGAGGAAGAAAUCUAAUUCAAGUGGGGGGAAAUUGUUACAUCCUAUAUCCCAUCAUUACUUAUUUCAGGGUCAUGGGCUGGAAUUAGAUUCUGUACAAAAUUUGGGCCUUAAUGAGCUCAAUAUUAGACCUUGUGUAAGGAGGUAAUGAUGGUUGAUAGAUUUAACCCUUGAAUUGUGUUUUGGACCGAAUGGUAAAAAAGGAAAAGUCAUAGGGCAAUUAUUGUAUGGAAUAUGGAUUUUUGAUCGAGACGUUUUUAGCCUAAGAUAUUUAGAUAAUAUUGUAGAGAUCUUCAUCACCUUUCUGUGGACAUAAAGAACGUUGAAAACGGAGUUGGAAUCAAGAAGUUACAAUCGUUUGAAGUUAUGGGGAUUUUUGGGCUAGCCGCGUACGCUGCGUGUACGAGGAGUACGUUGGGCGUACUAGGGCAUCCCUAGUAUGAUGGGCAUGCCCAGUGAGUGCCCAAACCCUAUUUUUGUGGUUUGAUUCCUAAUUAACAUCCUUAACUUCCCCAAACCCACUCCAGUCUCAGCCUCUACCUCUCCAACACCCUUUCUUGAGACCAUAACCCUAGUUUGAGCCUUGUGAGCAAAAAGAAGGUGUUUUUAUGUAACAGCCCGGAACCUCAUGUAUUAUUAAAGUUAUGUUUUUGGGGUGAAUUAAGAGGGGACUCGGCGAGUUGGUGCCUAGACUCGCCGAGUAGGAUCGCGGACUUGGUCGCGGGUCCGCGACUGGACUCGACGAGUUCAGAUAUGGACUCGGCGANCGACGAGUCCAGAUAUGGACUCGGCGAGUCGACGCUGUUCAGCAGAAACCCUAACCGUUCAAGGUUGGGACGUAUAAAAGGGGUCCAUUGGCCGUCAUUGUUCGUUUUGCCGUCUGAGAAGAACCCUAAAUCGAUUAAGUGCAGCAGGAGCAAGAAUCUUAGGCCAUUAUUGGUUAGAGAAGAGUGGGUGUGCAAGGAAGAGGGAGGAUUGGCUAAAGGAGCAGCAAAGGGGUCACAUUCUGAGGUUGGGAAUACAGAGAACACAGCAUCCAGGUAAGAAUUCGUGUUUGCUCUGUUAUUUUGAUGUAAUUAUGAAAUUAGGGUUUAUAGAACCCAUUUGGUGAUUUGUGGAAGUAAUGCCUUGUUACCCCACGAUUAUAGUCUUGUAUUAGGACCUUUAGAGGUCCAGAAGGUCCCAUGCAUGUGUACUUCGGGACGAGACCUAUCCCAGGAAGCAGUUACUCGUCUGCAUGGCAUGGACUCGCCGAGUUGUUCUUCAGACUCGGCGAGUAGCUUGAAGAUGUGCUGGGACUCGCCGAGUUGUUCAUCAGACUCGGCGAGUGGAGUCGGGGUGGCCCCGCGAUUCUUCCACGAGGACCUCGUCGAGUCGAGAGGUAUACUCGACGAGUAGAAAGGGAAUAUUCAGGAAUCUGUGAGGACGACUAGACUCGCCGAGUCGCCAUGGUACUCGCCGAGUCCAGUCGAGUUGACCGUUGACCGUUGACCAGAGUUGACCUAAGUCUGACUUCUUAGGGAUAGUCACACUUAGAUGAUAUGAGUGUUAAUGAGUUAUGUAAUGUUAUAGGAGGAUUGUAGCUCGUGGGUUGGUGCGCGAGUGAUUUCAGGAGUUGCUAGCUUUCAGCACUUUCGAGGUGAGUCUCCUCACUAUACUGUACCCGGAAGGGUUUGACUGUGUGACCGGAAGGUCGAGUAUGUUAUAUGUGAUAUGUAUGCCAUAAGUGGUAAGUUAAGUGUUAUGUGAUAUGUAUGCUAUAAGUGAUAAGUUAAGUGUUAUAUGGAUAUGUAUGCUAUAUGUGGUAAGUUAAGUGUUAAAUGUGCUAUGUAUGAUAUGUGGGCCGGAAGGCAAUAUGUUAUGGGCCGGAAGGCGAAUAUGUUAUGGGCCGGAAGGCGUUGUAAUGAGGACCAGAAGGUCAGGGCCUGGAAAGGCGUAUGUGUGUAAGUGUAUAUUGGGGAACUCACUAAGCAUUUAUGCUUACAGUUGUUGUGUAUGUAUGUAUUUCAGGUACUAGCGAGGACCGUGGGAAGGCGCCGGCAUGAUCGAUACACACUGAAGAUUGUUUUAGGAUCUUGGGAGUUUGAAUAAUUGUAUUGACCGAAUAAUAAAACUAUUUAUGCCUUGUUUUAAUGGAAAAUAUUAUGUUUUAAAAAUGAAAAAUUUGUUUGAAAAAUUUGAGUUGUUACAUUUUAAGUUCUUUAGAGUGUUCUUGGUGCACCUUGGACAUGAAGGAACUCAUUGAAGAAGCGUUGGUUGCAUUGGAGCUUGUAGAUCCAAACCUUGUUCACCUUAAUCUAUCUUCUGGAGGUAUAAAGUUUGAAUCUCGAUGAUGAAAUUAUUAGAUCUAACCAAGGUUGUAGAAGUCGCUACUCGGUACCUGCCCGGCCAACUGGGGAGUAGCGAGUACUCGGGAGUACUUGGGAGUACUCGAGGAGUACUCGAAUUCGGUAAUUCAUGUAGAAAUAUUGUUUGGAAAAUUAUUUAUGUCAAAAUCAUUAAUCAUAAUUUGAUUGAAAUAUAUAACCAAAAUUCGAUACAUGUGAAUACAUAAAAACUGAAAUACACAUAAUUGUCUCACUACGUGGAUAAUUACUGAAAAUUUAAGAUAUAUAUGUAGCAAUAAUCACAUGUUUGUGUUAAAUAAUUAAUCAUUAAGUACAUUAUACAUAUUAAUCUUGAAAUUCUUGAUUUUUUUCUCUUUUUAUGAUAAUUUUGACCCUUUGACCGAGUUUGACUGAUUUUAACCGAGUUGGCCGAGUUUGACCGAGUAGGCCCGAGUUUGACCGAGUUUGUCCGAUUUUUGACCGAUUUUUGGCCGAUUUUGACUAAAUCCGAGUUUUUGGCCAAGUUGACAUUACUUGCCUCGAUGGAGGGCCGAUUCCGAGUAAUUGGCCUAGUACUCGGCCGAGUAGGCCGAGUUUUGCAACACUGCAUCUAACUAUUGUUGGGUGUUCUGAGAUUUUGGUCACUUCAAGUGUAUAAAGUUAAGAUCUUGAAAGUUUGUGACCUUGUUAUGGAAAAAUUUGGAAACUUUAUCCAUCUAAACUUCAUAUUGAUUCAGAUCUGAAGGUUUGAGACUUGAACUUAAUGUCUUAAGUUGAAAAAGAUGCACUUUUGGUCCCUUUAAGACGAAAAUACUAGAUCUUGGUGGUUGGGGCCAUUCUAAUGGAUAAAUUUGGAAAAUGUAUCCAUUAUGGAGCUAUUAGGAACCAUAAAAAUGUGAUUUUUGUCCUUCUAUCCCUUCCAUGCAAGAGUUGCGGUGUCUUAAUGGAUCAAUAAGUUAGGGUUUUAGCUUUUGGAUCUUCCCUAGCCAUGGAAAGUCAUGAUGUAACAUCCCGGAAUAAAAAGAGUACAGUGAAGGGCUAAAAGAGUAAAAUUGGAAGGGGAAAUCGGCGAGUCCAUGGGUGGACUCGGCGAGUAGAGUCGCGCCUUGGUCGCGUGUUAAGUGGCCGACUCGGCGAGUCAGUAGGAUGGACUCGGCGAGUAGGCGCUGAAUGGAGAAAACCCUAAAUCCGGAAGUUGAGCCCUAUAUAAAGAACAUUAUGUUUCCUCCCCAGCCUCCUUAUCAUCCCUUGAGUUCCAGAAACCCUAAUUUCAUGGAGAAACCCCAUUGUUGAGUGAAUUGGAGCUUGGAGAGGUGGUUGUUGAAGAGAUCUUGAAGAAAAAGAGGCUUGGAUCAAAGGCCUUUCCAAGGAUUCGGGUUGAUCUUUCCUGGGAGCUUCCUUUUGAGGUAUCAUUUCAUUGUUUGAGCUGCUAUUGUGUAGAUUCUUCAUUUUGGGGGUGUUAGAGAUCAUAUCUUUUGGUGUUUUGGAGUUUAGAGGUUAGAUCUGAGGUUGCUACCUCAGAUCUGGAAUGGAGAAGGGUUGGAAUGCCUGAAAGUCCCUGGGUUUGAGUGUGUAGUGAAGCUAUCAUGUCCCAAACCCUAGCCCUAAAGUGUAAAAGGCCUAGAUCUCUUUGGAUUCACGUAAAGUUUGCCACUUUACGUGAUGGAUGGGUUGUAGGAGGCUAGAUCUAUGUUUUGGAUCAAUUGCAUGGCCUGGAAUGCUUCUGUAUGGAUUCAGACCGGUGGUACUCAGCGAGUCACAUGGGUGGACUCGACGAGUUGCUUGAAGAUAGGCUGGAACUCGACGAGUUGGAAGAACAACUCGGCGAGUUGGAUGAAGAUGGCCUGGAACUCGACGAGUUGGAAGAACAACUCGGCGAGUAGGUUGAAGAUAGCCUUAGACUCGGCGAGUCUGUUCUUGGACUCGGCGAGUCUUGUCGAAGAGUCCCAAUAUUUUCUGGUUGAGUCGAGAAUCGGUGAGUCAAGGGAUGACUCGGUGAGUUGUGUGCGAGUGGACUCAGAGUUGUUGGACUCGGCGAGUCUCGGGGUGACUCGGCGAGUUAGGUCGCGGAUUGAGGGAAGUUCUGAGCUUGGGGACUCGGCGAGUCAUCGGGUUGACUCGGCGAGUAGAGUCAGUCAGGGGUUGACUUUGACCUUGUCUUUGACCAAGGGUUGACCAGUGGUUUCCAGGGGCAUUUUGGUAAUUGUUGAUUAUUGUUUUGAGUUCAGUGCAUUGGUGGUUGUCCAGUGGUGGAGAUCGUAUCAGUGAUCGGAGCAGCUUGGGUUAUCUGUUCAGUCGGCAGUUUCGAGGUGAGUUAUCCUCACUAUAUCAACAGGGUCUAAGGCACCAAGGCCGGCCCUUAUCGGAUUGAGAUCCGGGUAGUUGUUGUUAUGUUGUUGCUAUGAUAUGUUUGCAUCCUGAGAGCUAGGAUGGUAUAUGUUAGAGACCUGAUUGAGAUCGGUAUCCUGAGAGAUAGGGAGAUGCUAUGCUAGUGACCUGUUAGGUCGGUAUCCUGGUUAGGAUGAUGAUAUGUUAUGUGAUCUGUUUGAUCUGCUUGUUGACUGUGAAUUGCUAUAUGAUUGUAUGUAUAUGUGCACAUGGUUGUUUGGACUGGAGUUGGGUUGAGGCGGGUCCUGCUUUGUGCUGUAGGCCAAGAUACCCAGGGCGGACCGGUUGUCCCGAAGGCCCAGCGAGCGGUCCGGAUAGGCUGUAGGCCCCAAGAGGGCGGACCAGACGUGCCGAGGCUCGGAGAGUGGACCAGGCCGACUGAAGGCCCGGUGCGGGCGGACCAGUCAUACUGUAGACUCAGAGAGUGGACCAGGUGGAUUGAAGGCCCGGUACGGGCGGACCAAUCACACUGCAGACUCGAUGUAUGUGGCUAGACUCGGAGGGUGGACCAGGUGGACUGUAGGCCGGUGCGGCGGACCAGUCACACAGUAGACCCGAAGUGCAUGGCUGUUCUGUGAUCAGAUAUGUUGUGGCAUGUUAUGCGUGUAUGGUAUAUGUGGUUGGUAUUUUGGGGAUAUCUCACUAAGCUUUCGGGCUUACAGUUGUGGUUUUAUGUUUUUCAGGUUCUUCAGGAGACCGUGGCAAGGCGAAGGCGUGAUCGUACCGCUCCUCAUGAUUUUGUAGUAAUGUGAUUCUGGGAAUACGUUAAAUGUUUUGUAUUGAAAACCUUUUUGUAAAGAUUUAAUGGAAUCGAGAUGUUUUUGAAAAAUUUAAAAUUGGUUGUAUUUUUCGGUCGUUACAAGUUGGUAUCAGAGCCUUGGUUUGAGUGAAUUGGAGGAACACUCGUGUGACUCCAGUCUCAAAUCGAGGAGAGUUUUCAAAAGAGUAUUUAAAAUGGUUUUCAAAAUGAGUAAGGGAGGACGCGGAGGUACGAUCAGCCGGAGCCAGUAAGUAACCCCAAAAUACCAUGCAUGUUAUUUGUUUUUGAGCUUUGAUAGAACAGCAUGCUAGUGAUAGGCUAGGGAUCUUCAGGAUUUCAUGAUAUGUUGCCUGAUUUGUGAUGCCUGUAGCCUAGGGUUCCUUAUGGGAUAUUUUCAGUGUUCCUCUAGUGGUGAGGGUUGAGCGUUGUUAUGCAUGUUUCUCUAGGGCGUUGUGGUAGUACUUCAUACAAAUAUGGGUAGGUGUGGAAGGUAGUAUGGGCCCGUACUACUGAAAGCACAGGACCCAUACGCGUAUCAGGGAAACCAUGAUCUCUAGGGUUGGGUUGAGAGAGUUGGAUCCCAAGAUAGUGGGAAGAGUCUGAGAUUUUGUGUGGUGUUUUUCAGUAUGGAGAUUCCGAGGCAUGAUGAGAGUGGAUCCGGAUCAGGAUUGGGGGCAGGAGAGGGAGUUCCGGGCGGGUCAGUACUGCCCAAGGUUAUCGGUCAGAUGAGCACGUGCGAGUUGGAUGCGAGGAUUCGUGAGAUCCUGCGUGAUGAGAUUGCUGAGUUGUUCCGGGCUGAGUUGCCGGAGCUGUUUGGGUCGAUCAAGACCGCCAUGGUUGAGUAUUUUGAUGAGCGCUAUGCGGCUCUCGCAGAGACGGCUGCCGCGGCGGCUACAGCGGCUGUAGCGGCGGCAGGGGGAGGAGCUGGUCGGGGCUUUCAGUAUCGGGACUUCGAUAAUACGAAGCCUCCCACCUUCGAUGGAGUUCAGGACCCGAUUGUUGCUAUGAGGUGGUUAUCAGACGUGGAGGGGUGUUUCUUCACGUGNUGGUUAUCGGACGUGGAGGGGUGUUUCUUCACGUGUUCAUGCCCUGCUGAUCAGAGGGUGAGGUGUGCUCUGAACCUGUUGAGGCUCGGGGCGAAGGAUUGGUGGAGAUUGACCACGGGGUCAUAUUCGGAUGCGCAGAGGGCUGCGGUUUCAUGGGAUCAGUUCAGGGAGAUGUUCAGCACUCGCUAUGUUCCGCGAGUUGAGAGGGAGAGAUUGGCUCAGGAGUUCCUUGAGCUGAAGCAGGAUUCGGAGUCGGUGACUGAGAUCACCAGGAUGUUCACUGAGAGGGCGAUGUUCUGCCCUGAGUUCGCUUCGGAGCAGGCUCAUAUGUCUCGAUAUCUGAGCGUGCUCAAGAGGGAUAUCAGACAGUUUGUGUCUACACAGAGGUGUGAGACCUUGUUGGAGUUGCAGGAGGCCAGGCGGCGCGAGUUAAAGAUUGAGUUGCAGAUGCGUGAGUUGAGGCAGGCUCCAGUGCAGUUGCAAUCGGCGCCAAAACGGUCCAAGACCGUUGAUUCUAGAGUGGGGGAUCUGAGUAGCCACACUUGUGGGAAGUGUGGAAGGAGUCACACCGGAGUUUGUAGGUCCGGUGGUGCAUGCUGCAAGUGCGGAAAGGAAGGGCACUAUGCGAGGGAUUGUCGGCAGAAAGCGUCGGUUCAGGAUUUGAGGAUUUGUUACCAUUGUCAUCAGGUUGGACAUUUGAGGGUCAACUGUCCACAGCUCGCUGCAGGACCGGUGCAGGCUCCAGCACCGGCGACUUUGAGGAUCACGGGUGGAGGUCAGGGUGGAGCGGAGCCCCCAAGGGCUCAGGGUCGUGCUUUUCAGCUUGCAGCAGAGGAGGUCGGAGCAGUACCGGAUGCAGCUGCGGGUAUGUUUCUUCCUUGAUGUAUUGUUAUCUUAUGAUUAUUAUGGAGUAUUGUUUAUGUGCUAGUAUCUUUGUGUGAUUCUUGGUGUGAUAUUUGUUGUUUUUGAGAGUUAUUGCGUGAAUAUGGGUUAGUGUUGGAAAUUUCAUUGGUUAUCAUUCAUGGGGUUGUUAGUGGAAAUCUGGCGUUGGUCUGAAUGUCGGGUAGCAUCCGCCUUCUGAGGAGUGGUUAGCUACAGAUUGAGUUUCUUUUGAACGGAAGAAUCAGUGUGGAAAUGUGAUUUUGUGAAGGUUGCUAGUGCUAGUAUCAGUCCGCGUGUAAGUGUGGUGUUGUGCAGGGUUGUUUUGGGAGGUCGGUGAUAGCGACCGAUGGCUGAUAGACGAUGCCUUAAGUGGGGGAGAAUUGGAAAAUUCUCCGGAUGAUCAAUGAGUAUGUGAGAUUGUUGAGCUGUAUGGGAUUCAGCAGUGUUCUGUCAGCCAAGAGCGUAGGCUGACAUGUGUAUGUGGCAGACAUGCGGGGCGGAAUACAGACCAAGGGUACUUAUUGGCGGAGGGUCUGGGAUCAGGCCGGGAUUGAGUUGUGUGAUGGAGAUAGAGUUCGGAACCCCUAGAGGGCUAGAACGGUAUGCAUGGGAAGAUUUCCCAGAGAGAUAGCUUGGAAUGAGGAAUGCUAGUUGAGCGGUCCGGAUAAACUGAAGGCCANAAGGCCGGUAGGCGUACCAGUCAGGCCGAAGGCUCGGAGAACGGUCCAGCCAAACUGAAGGCACUGAGAGCGGUCCAGAUUGGCUGAAGGUUCUGAGAGUGGUCCAGAUUGACUGAAGGCCUGGUAAGGCGGUCCAGUCAUGCUGAAGACUCUGCAGGUACUGUUGGAUCGGUUCGAGGAUAUGGUUUGUGUAUGUUGCGGUGUGAUAGCAUUUGAAGGUCUGGCCCCGGGUAGUGAUCUUGAUUAGUUGAGAUAGUGCAUGGGCUUGAGAGUCCCUGCGAUUAGAGUCAGAGUAUGUGUAUUGGAUGGAUAGCGGUUACGCUAUAAAGGGUGGUGUAGCGUUGGGCGAGCACCGUGGCACUUGUCGGAGUGACAAUGCGGCCAAGUGGAUUCCUUGGUAAAGGAAAAGAGAGAGGUGUGUAACUCCGAGAGGGAGUGCAAGUUCACGGAAGUGAAAGCGGCAGAGCAGAGUUAUGAUUAGAGUAAUCCGAGUAUGGUUAUUGAGCAGCGUGUUUGCGACAGUGGAAUGGAAGCACAUCUGGCUUGGGAUGUCUGCUGAGGUUGCGGAGGGAAUUCUGCAGGUGUAGAGCCAAGAGGCUCGGAAGGGAUGCAGGGAGGGAGUCUUGGGCUCUCAGUGUGAUUCUGAUCAGGGAAUUGUGUAUGUAUUAGUGGUUCAUCCUGGGGGAAGUUUGAGGAUAUCAUCAGUGUAUCGGGUUUUGCUAACCAGAGGGUGCUAGAGCUAGUUCAACAUGUGUAUGUGAUUGCAAGAGGAGAACUCAUGGGAGUUUCUCUAAAGAAUGUGUCUUUCUGUCAGCAGAAUGAUUAGAUUGGGCUUCGGAUCGGUAAUCCGGUGGUUCAUGGUUAUCUUCCAGCUCAUAUGGGUCGAGUGAUGGUUGUGAUUUGGAGCAGUGUUGCAUCGUGAAUAGUACUCAGUAGUUAAGUGGUGUUAUCAGAGGGUAAAUUCGGUGGCCGGUUUGAGUCAGUGGUUAGGAUACCGUAAGAAAGGAGAAAGUGAGCUUCUAGUUUCUAUGGUUAUGCUUUGAGGAACCUGGUUGGGUAAAUGCCAGGUGGUGCGUGGCGGGGGUAUUUCUGGAAUUGAGUUGUCGCAGGCUUCGAGGACGAAGCCUAAUGUAAGUGGGGGAGAAUUGUAACAUCCCGGAAUAACAAGAGUAUAGUGAAGGGCUAAAAGAGUAAAAUUGGAAGGGGAACUCGGCGAGUCCAUGGGUGGACUCGGCGAGUAGAGUCGCGACUUGGUCGCGUGUUAAGUGGCCGACUCGGCGAGUCAGUAAGGUGGACUCGGCGAGUAGGCGCUGAGUGGAGAAAACCCUAAUUCUCGGGGUUGAGCCCUAUAUAAAGAACAUAACAUUCAUUCCCCCAACCUCUUUACUCAUCCUCAAGUCCAGAAACCCUUAGCCUUCGUGUGUGAGUGAUCAUAUUGCAUUUGGAAGCUUGGAGAAGCAAUUGUUGAGGAAAUCUUGAAGGGUAGGAGGCUUGGAGCAAGGGGCUUUGCUUGGAUUCGAGUUCCAUUGCAGUUGGGGCGUUCUUUUGAGGUAAUAUCUCGUCCUUGGGCUGUUAUUCUUAUGGAUUCAUCAUUAUGGGGUUUGUGGGGAGCUUAUCUUUUGGUGUUUUGGAGUUUAGAGGUUAGAUCUGAGGUUGCUACCUCAGAUCUGGAAUGGAGAAGGGUUGGAAUGCCUGAAAGUCCCUGUGUUUGAGUGUGUAGUGAAGCUAUCAUGUCCCAAACCCUAGCCCUAAAGUGUAAAAGGCCUAGAUCUCUUUGGAUUCACGUAAAGUUUGCCACUUUACGUGAUGGAUGGGUGGUAGGAGGCUAGAUCUAUGUUUUGGAUCAAUUGCAUGGCCUGGAAUGCUUCUGUAUGGAUUCAGACCGGUGGUACUCGGCGAGUCACAUGGGUAGACUCGACGAGUUGCUUGAAGACGAGUUGGAACUCGACGAGUUGGAAGAACAACUCGACGAGUUGGAUGAAGAUGGCCUGGAACUCGGCGAGUAGGUUGAAGAUAGCCUUAGACUCGACGAGUCUGUUCUUGGACUCGACGAGUCUUGUCGAAGAGUCCUAAUAUUUUCUGGUUGAGUCGAGAAUCGGUGAGUCAAGUGAUGACUCGGUGAGUUGUGUGGGAGUAGACUCAGAAUCGUUGGAAUCGGCGAGUCUCGGGGUGACUCGGCGAGUUAGGUCGCGGAUUGAGGGAAGUUCUGAGCUUGGGGACUCGGCGAGUCAUCGGGUUGACUCGGCGAGUAGAGUCAGUCAGGGGUUGACUUUGACUUUGUCCAAGGAUUGACCAGUUGCCUUCUAGGUGUAUUUUGGUAAUUAUGGGUAUUUAAUAAGUCAGUGCUAUGUUGUUGUUCAGUGGAGGAGUUCGUGUCAGAGUUUGGAGUAGCGGGAUCUUAUCCUUUCAGCCGACAGUAUCGAGGUGAGUUAUCCUCACUAUAUCAACAGGGUCUACGGCACCAAGGCCGGCCCUUAUCGGAUUGAGAUCCGGGUAGUUGUUGUUAUGUUAUUGCUUUGAUAUGUUUGCAUCCUGAGAGCUAGGAUGGUAUAUGUUAGAGACCUGAUUGAGAUCGGUAUCCUGAGAGAUAGGGAGAUGCUAUGCUAGUGACCUGUUAGGUCGGUAUCCUGGUUAGGAUGAUGAUAUGUUAUGUGAUCUGUUUGAUCUGCUUGUUGACUGUGAAUUGCUAUAUGAUUGUAUGUAUAUGUGCACAUGGUUGUUUGGACUGGAGUUGGGUUGAGGCGGGUCCUGCUUUGUGUUGUAGGCCAAGAUACCCAGGGCGGACCGGUUGUUUCGAAGGCCCAGCGAGCGGUCCGGAUAGGCUGUAGGCCCCAAGAGGGCGGACCAGACGUGCCGAGGCUCGGAGAGUGGACCAGGCCGACUGAAGGCCCGGUGCGGGCGGACCAGUCAUACUGUAGACUCAGAGAGUGGACCAGGUGGAUUGAAGGCCCGGUGCGGGCGGACCAAUCACACUGCAGACUCGAUGUAUGUGGUUAGAUUCGGAGAGUGGACCAGGUGGAUUGAAGGCCCGGUGCGGGCGGACCAAUCACACUGUAGACUCGAGGUAUAUGGCUAGACUCGGAGGGUGGACCAGGUGGACUGUUGGCCGGUGCGGCGGACCAGUCCCACAGUAGACCCGAAGUGCAUGGCUGUUCUGUGAUCAGAUAUGUUAUGGCAUGUUAUGCGUGUAUGGUAUAUGUGGUUGGUAUUUUAGGGAUAUCUCACUAAGCUUUCGGGCUUACAGUUGUGGUUUUAUGUUUUUCAGGUUCUUCAGGAGACCGUGGCAAGGC
rnacentral:lncRNA from 1 species